rnacentral:lncRNA from 1 species
AUGUUGACUAGUUUUGUUGUCUUUUUUUUUUCUGAGUGAAAAACGAACUCAUACACAUAGUAAAAAAUCCAAACAGUUUAACAUGGUUUUAUGUGGUUUUGAAAAGUGUGUAAAAAUUUUAGUUUGGGGUAAACCAAACUAAAAUUUAAAAGCCUAGAGGGGCACUUUAAAAAAUGCAUCUGUUGGUGAAUACUUUUAAGUGGAAAAUUCUUUUCUAGAUGAGAAUGUUGAAAGCUCAGAUUUGUGGGGUUAUGAGCUCAGGUUGCAUAUGCUGUUUUCUGAAGAUGGGGUACCCUUCUUCUCUCAGGUACAUGGAGAGGAUCUUUCUGGCAAGGGCUCAGCAGCUUUGAGAUCUGGGAGGACCCCGAGUCAUUUAUUUUGGGUUCUGGGUAUGACUGAUCUGUUUGGGGAUGAGGAAAUAAACACUCAGAAAGUCAAAGGGAACCAAGGACACACUCAUGGGCUCUGCUUCUCUAGCUUAGUUUUCUCCUCUGAAAAUGUGGGUAUUGUAUGGGAAUGAUCUCAUGGGGUCAUCUAGUUCUGUCUGUGACUAUGUAAUUGAAGACAUCUGAUUUAAAGCCUAGUGUUUGUAUUAGGGUAUCAGAAAAUGCGACAAGACUUCUUAGGUGUGGGUUUCCGGCACUGAGGCCAAAACUGGGCACUUUUACUUUUGUGCUUUUGCUUGAGACCAAUUGAUUGAUCUGCCUAUCUUCUAUCUCUUUGCCAUAAGAAAGGCUCUUUGUAAUUUCAUACUGAAAAAGUAUCAUCAAAAUAAAUCAUCAGUACCAUACCUAAGAUUAUCAUUAAUAAUUAGUCUGGUGGUAGAGACAGCUGGUAGGAUGCCAGAACAUUAACCUGAACAGUAAAAGAUUCAUUCUGUUUAAAAACAAAAAGCAGGGCAUUGUCCCCCCUCAGAUACUGAAGUCUAGAAACUGAGGCCUUGCCCACACAGAGCCAAAACAUCACUUCAAAGACCUUGUCUUAUCAAAGAUAAAAGUAUUCAGCCAGCUUAAAACAUUUUCAAGUAAAGGUCUCAAUUUAGUUAUCUAAAGGUAGAAUUUUAAGGUAUUUAAUGGAAAGAAUUUUAUAUCUUGGUGGAAAAAAAACUACAGACUUUGGAUAAUCAGGAGGUGGUUCAGAAUUAACUUGGGAAGUCUUCUAAAGCAUGUUGUGAUCGCAGCCUCAGGGUAGAAGGUUCUGUGGAUUUUGGUGGGAGAGGAGACCUUGGGAUGAUCCACCUCAGCUUUGAACACAGUGCAUGCUUUUAAAGCAUUUGUUAAAGGAAUGGGUGAAUGAAUGAAGGAGAGAAAAAAUCCCUGCUGCAUUAUCUACCCAUAAAAGAAAUACAGAACCAUCUGGAAGGUGAAGAACAAAGAAAGGGAAUCAAGCCCUGGGAAUGCAAGUUUGUUGCUUAUUCCUGUGACUGCUGCCACAGGGAUAAGGGUGCUAGGCUUGGGUUUAGGAGACUUGGGUGAAAUUCCAGUCUACACAUGGCUAGCAAGCUCUCUGAAAAAUGGGGAGAGCAAGCCAACACUCAGGCUUUUGACUAACUUGUCUGGCGUGUUUCUCAACAACUCCAUUAAGAAUUCACUGUUAGAAAUCUGAUCUUUUCUCCUCUGUUGAGCUUUACUUGGGCAUUUUAUUGAUUUGAUAUCACUUAGUAGAAACCCAUUCAACAAAAGGUAUCUCUUCAGGCCACUAGUCAAUACAGCAUUUUUUAUUUGCUGAGAUUUUUACUUCUAUUUUGCCCCACAUCAGCUGGUAAGUUUUAUAAGUAAGCAAAAAGUAGGAGCUAUAGACAAUAAGGAAGCAGAAUGAACCUCUGCAAUUCAUAUUUAUGUAUGAUUUCACUUGGAGUGGGAGGAGAUGUUUUUUUUCCCCAUCUUUGAAUAAGUAGAAAAACAUCUCACGUAACCUGGGGUGGUGGUGGUGAAUUUUCAGCUGAAGGGAAUCCUUCCUCGUGAAGCUCACUGCUAUCCUGUUAAUCUAGCAUUUUACUUUUGUGGUAAGAUUCUGGGUGGAAAGGGAAAAUGAAAUGAUACAGCAUCUCAAACAUAGGCAUCAAGAUUAUUUCCGUUGACCUGGUGACCAAGAUUAGGGUUUGCCUAACCCAGAGAUGAUAAUACGUAUUAAUGAUGAAGGGUAACGGCCGGCCCUUGGCCAAGGAGAACUCUUCUGAAGGGGUGGGCCAUUUGCUCACAUUUAUAAAGUUGGUCUCAGGGCGUUGAGGGGUGGGGGUGCAAACGAGGUGCUUUUACCUCUGGCUUUUGGGGCAAUGACAGCAGUUUUCUUUCUUGGCCCUUCUAAAGGGUUCUCUGCAUUCUGUCCCCCUCCCUGCCCCCAUCCAUUAAAGGAGAACGAAUAAACUGAUUUUACUGUUUUCCAAGAA